rnacentral:misc_RNA from 1 species
AAACAGUCAAGUGUUAAUUGGAAAAAUUAUAAAUAAACGAAAAAAUAAUUAAUAUUUAAGUUGUUAUAAUAAUUUAAUUUAAUUUUAGUAUUACUAUAUUAUCAUUAUUCACAUAUCAAUUUAUUUACUUUGAAAUAUCAAUUAAUUAAUUGUAAUAAAAUAAAAUAAAAUAAAAUCUUAUCUUGCGUUAUCUCUUUAAGAAUUAUAACUUUCAUUCUCAGAAAUGAUUUCCUGUAACAUAACAAUCCAAACAACGCAGAGCUAAGAAAGGCUCUGACCAAAUAACAUAAUCAAAAUCGCUAGAUGCUUCAACCAACUCGUGAGCAAUCUUGUUAGCUUCUCAAAGAAUCCAACGAAGGGAGAAGUCCAUUCCAUGCUGGAUAUAUUAUUAUUCAGACAUUGUGAACAAAACACUAUACAGCUGACCUUAGCAAAAUGCAUAUUUUGUUGAGAAUUGUUGAUUAUACAGGCCUUAAUAAUUAAGGCAUAUUGUUUUUUUAUUUAUACAAAUGAAUUAAUGAUGUGGAUGAGUGGUCAUACUAGACUUGAUAAAGUUCCUAAUGAGAGUAUUAGAGAAAAGG